AAGACUAUAGACCUGCGGAGUACCUGCGGAGGGAUCAUUACAAAUUGUGCCCCGGCCUUGCGUUGGUGGGCUACAAACUAGAAACCUUCCGAAAGGGAGGCUAUAGUUGUUAACUCUUUGUGAAACUUAUACCUUUUGCUUCGGCAGCACUCUCAGCGGGCAACCACUGGAGAGGUAAGGCUGCCAGAGGCCCAUAUUAAAACCAGUUGAUGAAAUGUCAUGCUGUCUGAUAACCACUUU
rnacentral:misc_RNA from 1 species